UACGUAGGGGGCGAGCGUUGUCCGGAUUUAUUGGGCGUAAAGAGCUCGUAGGCGGUUCGAUAAGUCGGACGUGAAAUCUCCACGCUCAACGUGGAGGGGCCGUUCGAUACUGUCGUGACUCGAGUCCGGUAGGGGAGUGUGGAAUUCCCAGUGUAGCGGUGAAAUGCGCAGAGAUCGGGAGGAACACCCGUAGCGAAGGCGGCACUCUGGGCCGGUACUGACGCUGAGACGCGAAAGCGUGGGGAGCGAACAGG
rnacentral:rRNA from 1 species